GUCUAUGGCCAUACCACCCUGAACGCACCUGAUCUCAUCUGAUCUUAGAAGCUAAGCAGGGUCAGGCCUAGUUAGUACUUGGGUGGGAGAUCUCAAUACAGAUUGAGCAUUCCUAAUCU
rnacentral:rRNA from 1 species